rnacentral:lncRNA from 1 species
CUUACGUGUAUCUAUGUGUGUUCCUGUCAAGAUAAAAGUCCUCUCACAAACAGUUGCUUUCCUGUUGCUGACAGUCACACACCCACUCUCCCAAGAAUGGCAGGGAAAAAGGCAUUAGUAAUCCUCUCUAAAGGUGCAGAAGAGAUGGAAACAGUUAUACCUGUGGACGUAAUGCGUCGAGCUGGGAUUGCUGUGAUGUUGGCAGGGUUGACAGGCAAAGAGCCUGUGCAGUGCAGCAGAGAUGUCUACCUUGUUCCUGAUGCCAGCCUGGAGGAUGCCCGCAAGCAGGGUCCGUAUGAUGUGGUUUUUCUGCCAGGGGGAGCUCUCGGUGCCCAGCACCUGUCAGAGUCGCCUGCUGUGAAAGAGGUGUUGAAGGACCAGGUGGACAGGAAAGGGCUGAUCGCUGCCAUCUGUGCAGGUCCCACGGCUCUCCUGGCACACGGUAUUGCCUACGGCAGCACAGUCACCACCCACCCUGGUGCCAAGGACAAGAUGAUGACUGGUGGUAAAGCUACACAAACAGCCUGGCUGCCACAGGGCUAAGGUUUAGGUUAGGGUUGCACAGGGUCAGAAACUUUCUGGGAAAUUUCUGGAAAUUUUCCAUGGGAAGUUAAGCCUAGGAAUUUGGGGAAUUUUGCUUCAAUUCAUUAAAAAAAGUUAGCUUAUAACAGUGAACCUCCCACCAAAAAGGCAAUUCUAGGUCUUGUGGCAUAUUUUGGUUAAACUAUCCCCAAUUCGAUGGAAUUGCAAUCCUCUGCAUGUGCAGUGCACUCUUCGGUCACACGUGCAGUGCACUCUUCGGUCACACGUGCAGUGCACACAACUACACUGUCUGAGCCAAGGACUACAUACUUUUUGGAAAAUGCCACGGGCACUAUCUGAUGUGUGGAGACAUUUCACUGCAGCCAAUGUAGAAGGAAAAUCUGUGUACAUUUUGCAAAUACUGUGCCAAAUCAUAUGUGAAGAAUGCAACAAAGAUGCAGAAUCAUCUGGCCAAGUGCAUAAAGUUCCCUCAGCGCUCACAACAAGCAACCUCUGACAAAAGUCCCUCUACUUCUAUUCGAGGUGAAAAUGAUGAAUCAGACACCUCAUCGAUAGCAACAGCUCAUGGUCCUCCUUGAAUCAGAAGUUUUUUUUACUCAAUGGUGGAACGUAGUGAGAAAUGCUGAUAAAUGUCUUGCUCGAGCUGUGUAUACAACUGGUUCACCUCUGAUGCUCACAGGCAAUGUGUAUUGGAAGAGAUUUCUGAAUGUUCUUCACCCAGCAUACACCCCUCCAACCAGACAUGCUUUUUCUACUCAUUAACUGGAUGCAGAGUUCAACAGAGUUCAAGUGAAGGUCAAGCAAAUCACAGAGAAAGCAGACUGUAUUGCAAUCAUCUCUGAUGGGUGGUCGAAUGUUCAUGGGCAAGGAAUAAUUAACUACAUCAUCUCCACCCCUCAACCAGUAUUCUACAAGAGCACAGACACAAGGGACAACAGACACACCGGUCUCUACAUUGCAGAUGAGCUGAAGGCAGUCAUCAAUGACCAUGGACCACAGAAGGUAUUUGCACUGGUGACAGACAAUGCUGCGAACAUGAAGGCUGCUUGGUCUAAAGUGGAGAAGGCCUACCCUCACAUCACACCCAUUGGCUGUGCUGCUCAUGCAUUGAAUCUGCUCCUCAAGGACAUGGCACUGAAAACAAUGGAUACACUCUACAAGAGAGCCAAGGAAACGUUUAGGUAUGUCAAGGGUCAUUAAGUUAUAGCAACAAUCUACCUCACCAAGCAAAGUGAGAAGAAUAAGAGCACCACAUUGAAGCUGCCCAGCAACACCCGUUGGGGUGGUGAUGUCGUCAUGUUUGACUACUGCAGGGGAAGGAGUCUCUCCAAGAAAUGGCCAUAUCACAGUUUGCCGAUUAUGGACAGCCCCAUCAAGAGGAUCCUCCUGGAAGAUGUAUUUUGGGAGAGAGUGGUAAGCCUGAAACUCCUGAAACCUAUAACAGUAGCCAUUGCAUGGAUUGAGGGAGACAAUGCCAUCCUGUCUGAUGUUCAGACUCCGUACUGCCCGGCCCACUUCACUGUUGCUCCAAGCAGAGGAAACUGCCGUUCUGAAAUGCAUCAAGAAGCAUGAAGACUUCUGCCUGAAGCCCAUACACGCCACAGUGUACAUGUUGGACCCCAAGUAUGCUGGCAAGAGCAUCCUGUCUGGUGCAAAGAUCAACAAGGCCUAUGUUGUCAUCACUGCUGUGCCUCGCCACCUUGGCCUGGAUGAGGGCAAAGUUCUUGGCAGUCUGGCGAAGUCCACUUCCAAGCAAGGGCUUUGGGAUGGAGAUGCAAUAUGGCAGUCGUGCCAACGUAUCUCAUCAGCCACCUGGUGGAAGGGACUUUGUGGAUCUGAGGCUCUUUCCCCUGUUGCCUCCAUCAUCCUCCAAAUCCCACCAACAUCAGCCACCUCAGAGCACAACUUGUCCUUGUUUGUAAACACACACACCAAAGCACGCAACAGGCUGACCAAUACAAGGGUUGGAAAAUUGGUGGCCAUCCGGACAAAUUUGAGGCUUUUUGAGCCUGACAACGAGCCAUCCUCAACAAGGUUGGAAAGUGACAGUGAAGAUGAGGCCUCAGAGUCUGAUGUUCAAGAGGUGGACAUUGAGGUCCAGGGAGAAGACAUGGAAGCCUGAGAGGAAGACAACCAAAGCUUUAGUUUCUGGACUAUCAUUUUACAGAUGCAUGUUGAAAACGUUUUUGGGAGAUGCGAUAGAUCAUUGGGGAUUAUUCAAUGUUCCCUUUUGUUCUAUGAAAUCAUCCCAUGUGAAGAGUCAACUCAUUUAAUUAAAGUUAAAAUUGUAACAAAUUGUUUUUAUUUUAAUUUCUAUUGGAAAGUUUUAAUAAUUUGCAAUAGUUUACUUAAAAACAAACCUUUUACCUUAUGUCUCCAUAUGAUAUGGUAAAUAUAUCCAAUGCAAAAAAACAUCUACAUUUAAAUGGUAUUAAUUUUAAAUUGCAUAUAUUCCCACAAUGUUUCUACCUCUGAAUAUUCCCCAAAAUGUGCAACCCUAGUUCAGGUUGAUUAAUCUCUGCAUUGUAUAGCUACUUCAUAGCCACUGUGGUGCUUGUUUGUUAGUUGGAUGUUACACAAAAUGCAUGCACAUGUAGGAAAUCUUCCUGUAUGAUGACUCAGCAGGCUGUGUGGCAGGAAAUGCAGCACAAUGAGCAGAUCCCAAGUACUACUGAACAGUGGUGACAAACGAUUGUGGUCCUUUGUGUCCAGCAGAGGGUGCUGUAACAAGUUUCUUACUUUAUGAUAGUCAUCAAUACGAGGUCAUUAUGCACCAGCAUUUGAUUAGAUUCAAUCAGUAAACACCAACAUAAAUACUUCAAAGAAAGACUGCAUAUACACAAGUUAAAUUACGUAGUAAAUGCAAGAAAGUUAAACCAAUGAAUAACUUGAUUUGAACAAGUGGUACUAAAUCAUUCCCAUUUGCAGAGUAUUAUACAAUGGUGUUUCUCUCUCUUCACCACUGUUCCUCUCCACUCCCUAGGCCACUACAAGUAUUCUGAGGCUCGAGUCCAGAAGGAUGGCCAUCUGAUUACCAGCCGCGGGCCAGGAACCAGCUUUGAGUUUGCCCUGGCCAUUGUAGAGGAGCUCAUGGGGGCUGAGGUUGCUGCUACUGUCAAAGCACCCCUGGUUCUGAAAGACUGAGUGGUGUUGAGCCUUUCAAACUAAAGCACUGUCAACUAAAACCCUAAGUACUCCGCACUGUUCAUCAUGGUACACGUGCCAAUCAUUGUGAACAAAGAAUAAUGAUAAUGACAGGAUAAUGUGCAAUAGUAAGAAGAUGCAUUUUUAUUAUUCUCUUCUAUCCUUCCCUGGGACAUGUUGCCCCUGCACUUUAAGCAUCAGUGAUUUGGGAUUGUUAUUGCUUUUGUAUAGGAAAAUCAAUGUUAAAUUGUAUUGAUUUAAAUAUCAAAUAUAUUGCCGUCUUCACUGUCCAAAAGCAUUGAUGUAGCUUCAUCAUUAAAGUCAUCUGAACCCCCUUCAGACUCUUGGUACAAUGACGGUAUGUGUAUAUUUAUAACAAUGACACUGGAGGUAAUAUGAGAGUAUGCAUUCGACACGACAGUCAGAAAUAACAAGA